rnacentral:lncRNA from 1 species
CGACCCAAAGUUUCCUUGUUAGUUACAAAACAAGAAAUAAAGGAUUUUGCAUAAAUGAACGAAGGUUUACCGGAACUGUAAAAAAUGGAUUAUCUCCGUAUGGAAGCAUCAAAACAGAACAUACAAGGUUAGUAAAACCUCGAUGAAGCAAUACCAACGCUGUCGGUGAGACCAUGGCAGUAAUAAAAAAAUUACAAUUUCUCCAGCAAUUUAAUAAGUCUGGAUAUCAAGGUUUUGGCAGAUUUCCAAAUUAAAAUCUAAUCCCAAAGCUACUCGCCUGAGACGCUGCUACAAAGGCGUUAGACAAUAGAGCAGCAGUCAGAGGGAACAUGUGCGCAAAGGUCCUCGGAAAUUCUUCAGCAAGACUCUGACCAAACACCGAGGUCAAAGUUUCAGCUAUCUAUUUUGUUUGGAUCAAAUCUGAUAAAGGAGGCAAAUGCGGAAAUGUAUUUUCGGUCAGAUCCAACAAAAUCCAGACCCAAAAUUUUCAGAUCUCUGGCCUCUUUUAUGUAUUUCUCCAGAUCCCUUUAUAAAUGUGUAUAUAGGUAUAGAGAAAGCGAAGAGGUGUGAGGUGGCAAAUUUAAAGGUUCUCCAUGAUUUACGACGAGUUCGCCGUUUGAGAUUCUGGCUAUGGUCACUACUGUGAGGUGAGUAGAAGAGAGGAGGAAAAGAGGAGAGUGAAGCAAUGGGGAUGGACUUUGGAUCGGGUAGUAUUUUUUGCAAGUGAGGUAAUAAAAGAAAUGGAUGGGUCAAUUUAAUAUGGUGAAGUCACGUGUACUUUAUUAAAAAUAAGGGUAUAUUUAUUUUAUAGUAUAACACUAGGGUCUUGUAUAACC